rnacentral:rRNA from 1 species
UAAUACCAGCACCCCGAGUGGUCGGGACGUUUAUUGGGCCUAAAGCAUCCGUAGCCGGUUCUGCAAGUCUUCCGUUAAAUCCACCUGCUUAACAGAUGGGCCGCGGAAGAUACUAUAGAGCUAGGAGGCGGGAGAGGCAAGCGGUACUCAGUGGGUAGGGGUAAAAUCCGUUGAUCCAUUGAAGACCACCAGUGGCGAAGGCGGCUUGCCAGAAUGCGCUCGACGGUGAGGGAUGAAAGCUGGGGGAGCAAACC